GAUGAACGCUGGCGGCGUGCCUAAUACAUGCAAGUCGAGCGAACAGACGAGGAGCUUGCUCCUCUGACGUUAGCGGCGGACGGGUGAGUAACACGUGGAUAACCUACCUAUAAGACUGGGAUAACUUCGGGAAACCGGAGCUAAUACCGGAUAAUAUAUUGAACCGCAUGGUUCAAUAGUGAAAGACGGUUUUGCUGUCACUUAUAGAUGGAUCCGCGCCGCAUUAGCUAGUUGGUAAGGUAACGGCUUACCAAGGCAACGAUGCGUAGCCGACCUGAGAGGGUGAUCGGCCACACUGGAACUGAGACAAGGUCAAGACUACUACGGGAGGCAGCAGUAGGGAAUCUUCCGCAAUGGGCGAAAGCCUGACGGAGCAACGCCGCGUGAAUGAUGAAGGUCUUCGGAUCGUAAAACUCUGUUAUUAGGGAAGAACAAAUGUGUAAGUAACUAUGCACGUCUUGACGGUACCUAAUCAGAAAGCCACGGAUAACUACGUG
rnacentral:rRNA from 1 species